UCNUCUGGCUUAACUGGGGGCUUGCGGUGGGUACGGNCCGGCUUGAGUGCGGUAGGGGAGACUGGAACUCCUGGUGUAGCGGUGGAAUGCGCAGAUAUCAGGAAGAACACCGGUGGCGAAGGCGGGUCUCUGGGCCGUUACCGACGCUGAGGAGCGAAAGCGUGGGGAGCGAACAGGAUUAGAUACCCUGGUAGUCCACGCCGUAAACGUUGGGCACUAGGUGUGGGGGGCCUUUUCCGGNUCUUCCGCGCCGUAGCUAACGCAUUAAGUGCCCCGCCUGGGGAGUACGGCCGCAAGGCUAAAACUCAAAGGAAUUGACGGGGGCCCGCACAAGCGGCGGAGCAUGCGGAUUAAUUCGAUGCAACGUGAAGAACCUUACCAAGGCUUGACAUGUGCCGGUCGGCUCCGGAGACGGGGCUUCCUCCCUGUGGGGCCGGUUCACAGGUGGUGCAUGGUUGUCGUCAGCUCGUGUCGUGAGAUGUUGGGCUAAGUCCCGCAACGAGCGCAACCCUUGUCCCGUGUUGCCAGCACGUUGUGGUGGGGACUCGCGGGAGACUGCCGGGGUCAACUCGGAGGAAGGUGGGGAUGACGUCAAAUCAUCAUGCCCCUUAUGUCUUGGGCUUCACGCAUGCUACAAUGGCCGGUACAGAGGGCUGCGAUACCGUGAGGUGGAGCGAAUCCCUUAAAGCCGGUCUCAGUUCGGAUCGGUGUCUGCAACUCGACACCGUGAAGUUGGAGUCGCUAGUAAUCGCAGAUCAGCAACGCUGCGGUGAAUACGUUCUCGGGCCUUGUACACACCGCCCGUCACGUCAUGAAAGUCGGCAACACCCGAAGCCCGUGGCCCUAC
rnacentral:rRNA from 1 species